UGGACACCAACUUAAAUAUUUCUCUCUCUGAAACCCCUCCGUGCCCUUGAGAGUUGGUGGCACUGCCCACCCUUUAUGGGUGCUUCCCUGAGCUAUGUCUUAGCUUCCCUGAGCAAUGUCUUAGAUCUGAGGCUUUUGCCUCUUGCUUCAUUUCUUUUUUUUCUCCUUCGGUCUCCUUCCCUUAUCCUUCCAUCUUGCCCCAUUUUUCUUUCUGUACCUUAGCCCCAAAUUUUCUCUAACUCAUUCCUCACCACCCAUCACCUUCUUGUACCCACUAUCUCUCAUCUCCGGAUCUUGUUGCCCAGAUUUUUUCUUUUCCUUUUCAAAUCGGUACCAUGGCUUGGUUCUUCCAGUGACUCCUCUCAAACGCGAUUUCUCGCGUCUCAAUCGGAAGAUAGGGGUCUCUUUGCAAGCUGCAAUUUUGGAGCUCCAUGUAUGGAUUCAGCUACGACGACCAUGGUGGACGUUGGUGGUGCUGGAUUUGUGGCGGCUGAAGACAAGGAGAAGUUUAGAAUUAGGGUUUUCUUUUGUUUGUUGUUUUCUGUUGGGCCUCCUACUGUUUAUUUGGGCUCCGACUUUUGUGUACCUUUUAUCUUUUCGGCAUUUUUCUAAGGUUUUGUAUCGUUUAUUUUAGAAUGCCUACUAAAUCAAGAUUUAUCGAGAUUGGGUCAUGUACUUCUUCAGGUCAGCCUAAUAAGUACAUCAACCAGUCACAACCAAUCUCUGUUUACUA